CGAGCCUUGUCCAAGUUAGUCUGAAGGCGGUAUUAGGCAGGAAAGCGCCCACAGGAGAAACAGCUGGGAUGCAGACCGACUAUGGAAAUCUCAGUUCUAGGAACCGUGUCCUUUCGUCCCAAAGCUAGCCCUGAGUAAUCCCUGCUGCCCUACCGGGUGGUUCAAGGUGGGAGCCAGAGGGGGAGCCAUCUCGGACCUGGUCAUAGAAAAAGGAUGAAUGAACAGCUUCAUCUGGAACCUGCAUGGUGUUUUCAUAACAGACAGUGAAAGCGUACAAGGUCAAGACAAGUCACACACAUUUAUCUCAUGUGGCAUGAGAUACAUUCCCCUACGUGCCUUUGGCAAACCCCGACAUGCCUUUGGCAAAGAAAGAAACAUAGGCUUCAAGUUCAUGUGGAAGGGAAGUACUGGCCGAAAAGUGACUACAGGAAGGUGAGAAGGAACACUGAUUCUGAGAUUCCAGGAGACAUAUGAUGUCUGUGUUUUAGUCAGCAUUUUUGCUGCUGCAACCAAAAAACCCAACAAGAACAAUUUUAGAGAAGGAAAAGUUCAUCAUGGGGCUCAUGGUUUCAGAGGUCUCAGUCCACAGCCAGCCAGCUCCAUUGCUCUGGAUCAAAGGUAUGGAAGAACAUUAUGGUAGAAUAGUACAGUGGAGGAAAGCUGCUCAGGACAUGGCACCAGGAAACAGAGAGAGCGAGCUUCAUUCAAUAAGGAUAAAAUAUAUACCCCAAAAAGUAUCCUCCCAGGAACCCACCUCCUCCAGCCACACCCUAC